rnacentral:rRNA from 1 species
AACGAACGCUGGCGGCAUGCCUAACACAUGCAAGUCGAACGAGACCUUCGGGUCUAGUGGCGCACGGGUGCGUAACGCGUGGGAACCUGCCCUUAGGUUCGGAAUAACUCCCCGAAAGGGGUGCUAAUACCGGAUAAUGUCUUCGGACCAAAGAUUUAUCGCCUUUGGAUGGGCCCGCGUUGGAUUAGCUAGUUGGUAGGGUAAAAGCCUACCAAGGCGACGAUCCAUAGCUGGUCUGAGAGGAUGAUCAGCCACACUGGGACUGAGACACGGCCCAGACUUCUACGAGAGACAGGAGUGGAGUAUAUUGGACUGUGCGCGAACGUCUGACACCGCAAUGCCGCGUGAGAGAUAAAGGCCUUAGUGUUAAAGUUCUUUUACCCGGGAUGAUAAUGACAGUACCGGGAGAAUAAGCUCCGGCUAACUCCGUG